rnacentral:lncRNA from 1 species
UGUCAAAAUCAAUCCCAUCUAGAACAGCUGGUCCAAGUGGUCGAGAUGACGAAUGACCACCCAAGAAGUUAUUCCAAAGAUAAGUGGCAACCUGUCUAGCAUCCUCAGUAGAUGCAAGAUAAUAACUCCCAGCUCCUCCACCAAUAGAGAGCAUCACCUUGAUGCCUUUGGCUUGACAUGAUUUAAUAUCAGAGCUUAAGCCUGUGCAGUUGUAUGGAUCACAAUGACCAGCGAGGUUGAUCACAGGAGCCUGACCAUUGCCAAAAGUGGGCAGGAAAGCUAUAUUUACAAAGUCAUAAUUUCUAGUGGCACAAGUCUCAGCCAAGGUCCCUUCAUUUCCAUUCUGACCCCAAUAGAUUGCUAUUCCACCAGCAUCAGAACCCAAAAGCAGCGUUAAAAUCACUGACAAGAAGAAUAAUACUAAGAUUGGAGAACUUGAGGGCAUUCUUAAACUGAACUAGAAAUGUUUUAAAGCACUAGCUAGUAUAUUCUUCUCAGGAUUUUCUGCUUUGGCACUACAACGCUCAAAAGAAUUUCCUUUUUAUAGGCAAAACUGAUCACAUUCUGAUGGAUACAAUUUUAGUCUUUGUCGAGGAUGCGUGCCUCAGCAGUUGUUUCGUUACGCCUGAUAUGGACGAACAGAUGACAACUAAUUUACUGAUACAAGAAUUUCUCAUUCACAUCUUCAAUUAUCAAAUCCUGAUGACCACUUUCCACACCUUGAGCUGUUGUCUGCUCUCUACUGUUUUUGUAUAUUUUCUUUGCAUAGUUUUCUGUAAUUGUCUGUACUUGUUUGCUAUUAAUAGAAAAAGACAAACAUUACAUGUACAAUAGCUUAAUCAUGUUCUGAGCAUCUUGGGUUGUUGCACAGUUCUUUAUUAUCAUUUAUUUGUCCACUUUUACUUUAUCUGUCUCUGCAUUUUCACAAUCAGCUGAAAAUGAUAAACAAUAAAAUGCAUUAAUGGAGUCAGCAGCUGAAUCAUAUUAUCAGAUUUUUAUUGGUUGACAAAACUGUGGCCUCUUUAUAUCUUAAUAAAUUAUUAAGUGAAGAAUUACCAACAACUUCAUUUUCACACAGCUGACAAGGAAAGUUGACAUUUUUAUCAGGCUGAGGUCUGUAGUUUCAAGUUUGUCUCCCUUCCACAAGUAUUUGUCCCCCAAAUCAACGGAAACAUAACAAAGUAGUCUUCAUCUAUGUGAUUGCAAAUCCAAAUUCUAAUCAUAGAAUUUGUACUUCUAAACUUUUUCAUUUAGACCAUAAAAUAGAAAGUUGAUAUGUGGUGAUGAUUUUAGCAUACCACGUCAGCAACUCAUGUCAAAUAUGGCAAUGACUUUAACCUGCUAUAUUAGAGGUGGCGAUAACGUCAACAUAUCUAAUGAUAUCAGUCAUUAUAUCCUCAGAAUUCUAACCAUGCAAAAGUUUAAACCCUAAAAUAUAAUGAAAGUUACCUUAGUGUCUAAAGUGAAAAAAUGUGAAAAUACAAGUAACUAAAGUUUAUUUUUUCUUUUAUUUUUCCUCAUUUAAAAAAUCUAAUAAAGUUUAAAAGGAAUUAUAUAAUUAAUUCAAUUCAGAAAAAACAGUUUUUAAAUAACCACAAACUACGAAAAAAAUACAUACAGAGAGAAUAACAAAUCAUAAAUCGAAAUUUAUCCUAUCUUCUAAUAAAAUCAACAAAAGUAUCAAAUAUAUUGUAAGAUACAAUUUCCGAAAUGAUAAGAGAGAAGAGGACUAAUGUUUGAUUAGGUGAAUUUGGGUCACCAAAUAGGUAUAAAGUAAGUAUAAUUAAUCUAAAGUAAAAAACUUAACCAAACCCAGUUCAUAAACGUGUCGAUCUCAUUAUUUUUAUUAUUUGGAAGAUUCAUAUAUUUAUAUUUUAGAUCUAUAGUGGAUUGAGUCUAGAUAAGAAUUUCUUCAAUUAAAAAUGUGCUUUAUUUGACAAGGGUAAAAAGGUUGCUCUAUUCAUUUUAUUUUUCUUCGUCAUACAGGAGGAUAGAUGUUGCAUAUCAUCUCAUUUGUCAUUGAUCGAGCUUAAACAUGAUAUCUAUUUAUUUUCGUUUAUGUGUUUUUAUAUGUUUAAACCCCAAGACUAAUUAAGCAUAUCUAAAAUGUUCAUGGCCCUUUUUUUUUUUUUUUUUCUAAGUCUGAAUUUACAAUNNNNNNNNNNNNNNNNNNNNNNNNNNNNNNNNNNNNNNNNNNNNNUGGGUAUGAAUUCUGCCCAAGAACAACAAUGAGAUAAAGAAGAUGAAACAAUAUAUUAGACAUAAUAUAAAUACAUUGAGAGUAACAAUAGAAAAGCAAAGAAAGAUCGAUCAUAAACAAAUAUUACACACAAUUCUGGACUUAUUUACGUAGGACUUCCAUACAGAUACAUCUGCAUACAAACAGUAAAGCUUAGAUAGAGCCUUUGAUGGCCUUGCUGUAACCGGUUUGAUCGUCAUAAUACUUGGACCACAGCAUAACCCCUCCAUACUUAGCAGAACCCUUCAUUGGUGGAAGGACUUUUGAAAUGAGAUCAGCUACAGGGAUGAAACCACUACCAGCUGCAUCAGGAGCAGCAGGUAAUCCCAAGAAAAUCUUGUUAGCUGGGAUAUCCGAAGUCCAUUGCUUCCAUGCAUCUUCAAGAUUGGUAAUAUUUCCAGAGGAGUAUUGGCAGGGAGGGUUGUUGUAGAAUUGGACCCAAACAUAGUCAAAAAGACCUGUCUUAAGGGCAUUCCCUACCCAUGCAUCAGGAAAUGGGCACUGGGGAGCUGCAGUUAAGUAUACUUUUUUACCUUUCUUGCCAUAUGCUGAAAGGAACCUUGCAAGAUCGUCCCAGUGUUGGUUUGUUCCUCCUUCAAUGUCAAAAUCAAUCCCAUCUAGAACAGCUGGUCCAAGUGGUCGAGACGACGAAUGACCCCCCAAGAAGUUAUUCCAAAGGUAAGUGGCAACCUGUCUAGCAUCCUCAGUGGAUGCAAGAUAAUAACUCCCAGCUCCUCCUCCAAUAGAAAGCAUCACCUUGAUACCUUUGGCUUGACAUGAUUUGAUGUCAGAGCUUAAGCCUGUACAGCCAUUGCUGUAUGGAUCACAAUGGCCAGCGAGGUUAAGCAUAGGAGUCUGACCGUUGCCAAAAGUGGGCAAGAAAGCUAAGUUUACAAAUUGAUAGUUUCCUGUGGCACAAGUCUCAGCCAAGGUCCCUUCAUUUCCGUUCUGACCCCAAUAGAUUGCUAUUCCACCAGCAUCAGAACCCAAAAGUAGUGUUAAAAUCACCGACAAGAAGAAUAGUACUAAGAUUGAUGAACUUGAUGCCAUUCUUAAAGAGAACUAGAAAUAUUUUGAAGCACUAGCUAGUAUAUACUUCUCAGGAUUUUCUGCUUUGGCACUACAACGCUCAAAAGAAUUUCCUUUUAUAGGUAAAAAUGAUCCCAUUCUGAUUGAUACGAUCUUGGUAUUUGUUCAAUUGCGUGCCUCAGCAGUUGCUUCAUUACGCCUGAGAUGGACGAACAGAUGACAACUAAUUUACUGAUACAACAAGUUUUCAUUCACAUCUUCAAAUCUAUUCCUGAUGACCACUUUCCACACCUUGAGUUGUUGUCUGCUCUCUACUGUUUUUGUAUAUUUUCUUUGCAUAGUUUUCUGAAAUUGUCUGUACUUGUUUGCUAUUAAUAGAAAAAGACAAACAUUACAUGUACAAAAGCUUAAUCAUGUUCUGAGCAUCUUGGGUUGUUGUCAUGUAUUUGUCCACUUUUACUUUUAUCUGUCUCUGCGUUUUCACAAUCAGUUGAAUAAUGACAAACGAUAAAAUGCGCUAAUGGAUUCAGCAGCUGACAAGGAAAGUUGAAAUUCUGAUCAGGUUGAGUUCAAGUUUGUCCCACUUCCACAAGUAUUUGUCCCCAAAUCAACAGAAACAUAACACAGUAGUCUUCAUUCAUGUGAUUGUAAAUCCAGAUUCUAUUAAUCGUCUCGGUCAAAUGGCACAAGAAGUUUAUAUGGAUCACAACAGUUGUUCAGGGCAUUUCUUUUAAGAAUGUCCAAAAUUAGCAAGUGAUAAUGCUUUAUCAGAGCAGGAUGAACGCUAAAUUUGCAGCCAUCUAGUUCAUUAGACUUAAUGAACUGUGUCCCUUCUUUAAAUUCAAGAAUUAUAUAAGAAUUUAAUUAAAUUGAUUUUUUUUUGUUAAUUCUCAAAUAAAAGAGAAUUUUAAAAAAAUAGAAAUUAUAAAAAUAAAAAUUAUGAACAAUUUAGAUUGUUAAAAAAUAUAUUUUAUAACACAUAUUUUUCAUAGACAAUAUUUUAUAACUACAAGUUAUUUUUCUCGAAUGAGUAGCCUUAGAGUGUGUUCUAUAACAUUGCAGAAUUUUUGUUUUUAAUUUUUUUAUUCUUAUUAUUUAUCUUUUAAAAGCUAUUUUUAAAAAUUGACCGUCAUAAAAUAAAGUUAAUAACUUGUCAUAUAAAAAAUAUGUAAUAAAAUAUUUUAGUAAUAAAAUAAGGAUAAAUAAUUUUAUAAAUAGUUACAUAUAAAAAUGAAUAAAUUAUUUUUAUAAAAUAUAUAAUAUUAUAAUAAUAAAUGAUAUUAUUAUUUAGUCUUAUAAUAUAAGAAAAAGUUUUGAAAAAUACAAGUUGUAAAAGUCUCUUAGCUAAUUUUAACAAUUAAAUGUUAUAAAAAUUUAUAAAAAAUAAUAUUUAUAGUUUAUGUUUUUGAUAGUAAAAGUAAAAUCGAUCAACGAACAAAAUUUUUAUUUUUUUUUUAUCAAAUAAAAAUAACAAACAGAAAACCACGCCACGAAACCAAACGCCUCCUGUUAGUUUUUAUUUUGAAAUAAUUAUUAUCCUAUCCUGUAGUUUAUCUAAGUACUUCAAAUAUUUUUAUAGUUUUAAAAUUAUAUUAAAAUAUUUUUAUAUUUUGAUUCUAUUAAUUAAAAAGAACAUCAACUGGUUAAAAUUUUUCUAAAUAAUUAAAAUGCUUUUAUAAUUUUUAUAUUAUAUUAAAAUAUUUUUAUAUUUUUAUUAUAUUAACUAAAAAUGACAUUUAUUAAUUUUUAUUAUCAAUUUUUAUUGUUAGUUUAUUAGUUAAAUUUGAAAAAAGUUUUUUAUAUUCAUAUUUUCCUCUUAACAAAUAAAAUUCACAAUCUACAUCUCUUUUUGAACUCUCCAUAUUCUUUCUUAUUAUGAUAUUUUGCAUCUCUAUAUUUUUUCUAAAAAAAUAGAGAUUUAUAAUUAAUAAUAGAAUAUUGACGAUAAUAUAAUAUUAUCAAUCAAUAAAAUUUAAUAUUCCUUCUUUAUUAAUUAUAUUUGUAGACAAUACGAUCAAUCAUGAGCUUACUGAUAAAAUUGGUGAAUAGUAAGUUUUAUUUAAUAUAUGAUGUUAAUUUGGACAUAUAAUUAUUAUUUUUAAUUUUGAUCAAUAAAUUAAAACAAAAAUAAUAGAAACUAACGAAUAUUUUUUUAGUUAAUAAGAUAAAAAUAUAAAAAUAUUUUAAUAUAAUUUUAAAAUUAAAAAAUAUUUUAAUUAGUUAAGACAAAUUAUAAGAGCAUAAUAUUAAAAUUUUUUUAACUUUAACUAAUAGACUAAUGGUAAAAUGAAAAAAAAUGUAAUGAAUAUAAUUUUUAGUUAUAGAAUCAAAGUAUAAGAGUAUUUUAAUAUAAUUCUAAAAUUAUAAGAAUAUUUUAAUUAAUUAGAAUAAACUAUAGAGGUAUGAUAGUAAUUUUUUUUUAUUUUUUUUAUUCGACGAAAUGAUUGAAUGCGCUAAAUAUCACAGUUUAGGCUAAAAGUUGGAGUGUAAAUGAAUAAAACUUUUCGUAACCUAUUCAAAGUUCGGUUCAAUAAAAGCUCCACCGAAUUAGACUCGAUUUUUAAACGAGUUAAGUUCGAGCAUAAUUUUAAAACUCAUUUAAUAAACAAUCUAAACUUGAGUUAUAUAAUAUUUAGCUCGUUAACGCUUGUGAGCACAUCUCAUUUCCGAGUUUAUGAACAAACUCGUAAAGAGACUUGUGAACAGUUUCGUGCAGGCUGAGACUAAUAUUAUAAGAGAAAUAAACUCAAAUUUUGUAUAUAUUUUCAUGAACUAAAUCUAAAUAUUUUAAAACUCUAUAUAAUUUAAUUAUAUUAUUAAGAUUUGCAUGUAUUUGGAUAGUUAAAAUUUAAGAGUUCAUUUUUAUAAAUUUACAAACUAAUUUAUAUAUGUAAUUAUUUAGCUAAAAUAAUUUAUUUUUAAAAUUAUUAAUUUUAAAUUAAAACUCAUUAUAUUAAUAAAUUGAAUUACUUAUUAACUAUUAUAGACUAAACACAAUAAAAAUUUGACUCGUUUAAAUUCAUUUGUUAAAUAAAUUAAAUUUAAAUUUAUUAAUAUUCAAUUUAAGUUCGAAUUGAAUAAAAUUUAAAUUUAACUGAAAAAUAAAAAAAAAACAAACUAAAUUUAAACUUUCCAAAUCUCGGCUAGGUUAUUUUUACACUCAAUCUUUUAUUUCUUUAAAGAAUCGGUUGCGAUCCCAUCAUCACUCAAUUAUUAAAUGUAAAAGUCAGGAAUAUUUUAAUUUAGUUUUAAAAAUCAUCACUCAAUUAACAAAACGUGUAGGAAAUAUGUUAAUUUAUUUUUAAAAAUAUAAAAAUCUACAAUAAUAUCUAAAAAUUAAAUUAUAAAUUUCUCUAAAAAUUUAAUAGGAUACAAGUUAAAUUCCAUUGAAAUUUAACCCUUAAUCUUCUGCUUCCUCCGAUUUUCAUACUGGGCCGGGUUUGAAAACUAUACUUGACGCUGAAUUUGGCAGGUUGCGUACAAUUUUUGGGUUUUAAUUAAAUAAAAGACUUGCCUGGAAUUUUUUUCCUUUUUUUUAAAAAAAAAAUUGAAAGAAUUCAUAUUUCUUUUGAUUCAACCUUAAUUUUCCAUCGAUACUUAGACUAGAACUAAAUUGAAAUUGUAUAAUCAAAUCAAACUUAACUAGAGAUUAAUUUUUAUAUAUAUAAAAUUAAUUAAUAGACUUUUUUUAAAAUUAAUGAUCAAUUAAUAAAAAUUAAAUAAUAAAAUAUUUAUCGAUUAAAAUUAAUAAAUUUUUAAAAUAUAAAAAAUGUUCUAACAUAUUUUUCUCUUUUGAAAUCAAUUUUCUAUAAUAUAUAUAGAUUAAAUAAUAAAUUUUGUUAAUAAAAAUAUAUCCUUAAAAUUAUCUUAAAUUAAUGAUAUAUCAUUAUCUUCAUCGUCUUGCAAUUACCCAAGACCUAAUUAUCCACCAUCAUCCUCCAUUAAUUAUUAUUCUUCAGCCCUAUAUAAGGGUUAUAAGGACACUUCAAAAUCAUCUUCUUCUUCUUCUUCUAUCUCAGCUAAACGCUCUCUCAAAAGCCUUAAAGAAGCCUCCCUACCAGACAAUCCAAAUAUUUAUGACUUUGCUGAAAUCUGCAGAGCUACCAACAACUUCCUUUCAGAACCCUUCUCUUCCUCUCCCUCUUGCACCUCUUGGCGCUGCCAGAUUCGCCAGAAAGAUGUUAUUCUUUUCCAGCGCAAGUUCCGGCGCGUUGACCCCAUUAGAUUAUCGGAGCUCCAGCAGCUGUUAUCCACUAUCUGCAUGAGUCACCAUAAUAGCUUGAUUAAGCUUCUGGGUGUUGCCACUUCAGGGAAUUGUAUAUUUCUUGUUUACGAAUACGUUCAUGGAGCCAGUUUAGCUACUUGUCUUAGAAACCCACAGAAUCCCAGUUACACAGUACUGUCAAAUUGGCUCUCGAGGAUGCAUAUGUAAUAGUUUUUAAAUAUGGCAUGUCAGCAGCUCACGUCAAAUAUGGCAAUGCCAUUAACAUGCUAUAUUAGAGGUGGCGAUAACAUCAGCAUAUGUAAUGAUAUCAGUCACUAUAUCCUCAGAAUGGUAAUGAUGCAAAAGUUCAAACUCUAAUAUAAAAUGAGAGUUACUUUAGUGUCUAAAGGGGAAAAAUGUGAAAAUACAAGUAAUUAAAAUUUUUUUUUUUUCCUUUAUUUUUCCUAUUUCAAAAAUCUAAUAAAAUUUAAAAGGAAUUGUAUAAUUAAUUUAGAGAAAGUAUAUCUAUAUAAAUAAGCAAGUAUAAUGAUUUUUAAAUAACCGCAGUUACGGAAAAGAUAUAUAUAUAGUUAGGAUAAUAAAUCCUAAACUGAGAUUUAUGCUAUCUUCUAGUAAAAUCAACAAAAAUUUCAAGGUAAGAUACAAUUUCUGAAAUGAUAAGAGACAAGAGAACUAAUGUUUGAUUAGUGAAUUUCAGUCACCAAAUAGGUAUAAAGUAAGUAUAUAUCUAAAGUAAAAAAUUAUUUUUAAAUAAAAAAUUUAUUUAAAUUCGGUACACCUUAUCAAUAGGUUGCUCUGUUCACUUUAUUUUUCUUUGGCAUACCGAAGGAUAGAUGUUGCAUAUCAUCUCAUUUGUGAUUGGUCCAGCUUAAACACGAUAUCUAUUUAUUGUCCUUUAUGCGUUUUUAUAUUCCAAGACUUUCUUUCUUUUUUUUUUUUUUUUCUAAGUCUGAAUUUACAAUGGGUAUGAAUUCUGCCCAAGAACAACAAUGAGAUAAAGAAGAUGAAACAAUAUAUUAGACAUAAUAUAAAUACAUUGAGAGUAACAAUAGAAAAGCAAAGAAAGAUCGAUCAUAAACAAAUAUUACACACAAUUCUGGACUUAUUUACGUAGGACUUCCAUAGAGAUACAUCUGCAUACAAACAGUAAAGCUUAGAUAGAGCCUUUGAUGGCCUUGCUGUAACCGGUUUGAUCGUCGUAAUACUUGGACCACAGCAUAACCCCUCCAUACUUAGCAGAACCCUUCAUUGGUGGAAGGACUUUUGAAGUGAGAUAAGCUACAGGGAUGAAACCACUACCAGCUGCAUCAGGAGCAGCAGGUAAUCCCAAGAAAAUCUUGUUAGCUGGGAUAUCCGAAGUCCAUUGCUUCCAUGCAUCUUCAAGAUUGGUAAUAUUUCCAGGGGAGUAUUGGCAGGGAGGGUUGUUGUAGAAUUGGACCCAAACAUAGUCAAAAAGACGUGUCUUAAGGGCAUUCCCUAUCCAUGCAUCAGGAAAUGGGCACUGGGGAGCUGCAGUCAAGUAUACUUUUUUUCCUUUCUUGCCGUAUGCUGAAAGGAACCUUGCAAGAUCGUCCCAGUGUUGGUUUGUUCCUCCUUCAAUGUCAAAAUCAAUCCCAUCUAGAACAGCUGGUCCAAGUGGUCGAGACGACGAAUGACCCCCCAAGAAGUUAUUCCAAAGGUAAGUGGCAACCUGUCUAGCAUCCUCAGUAGAUGCAAGAUAAUAACUCCCAGCUCCUCCUCCAAUAGAAAGCAUCACCUUGAUGUCUUUGGCUUGACAUGAUUUGAUGUCAGAGCUUAAGCCUGUACAGCCAUUGCUGUAUGGAUCACAAUGGCCAGCGAGGUUAAGCAUAGGAGUCUGACCGUUGCCAAAAGUGGGCAAGAAAGCUAAGUUUACAAAUUGAUAGUUUCCUGUGGCACAAGUCUCAGCCAAGGUCCCUUCAUUUCCAUUCUGACCCCAAUAGAUUGCUAUUCCACCAGCAUCAGAACCCAAAAGCAGUGUUAAAAUCACUGACAAGAAGAAUAGUACUAAGCUUGAUGAACUUGAUGCCAUUCUUACAGAGAAGUAGAAAUAUUUUGAAGCACUAGCUAGUAUAUGCU